CCUACGGGAGGCAGCAGUGAGGAAUAUUGGUCAAUGGACGAGAGUCUGAACCAGCCAAGUAGCGUGAAGGAUGACUGCCCUAUGGGUGGUAAACUUCUUUUAUAUGGGAAUAAAAUGUUCCACGUGUGGGAUUUUGUAUGUACCAUAUGAAUGAGGAUCGGCUAACUCCGUGCCAGCAGCCGCGGUAAUACGGAGGAUCCGAGCGUUAUCCGGAUUUAUUGGGUUUAAAGGGAGAGUAGGUGGAUUGUUAAGUCAGUUGUGAAAGUUUGCGGCUCAACCGUAAAAUUGCAGUUGAAACUGGCAGUCUUGAGUACAGUAGAGGUGGGCGGAAUUCGUGGUGUAGCGGUGAAAUGCUUAGAUAUCACGAAGAACUCCGAUUGCGAAGGCAGCUCACUGGACUGCAACUGACACUGAGGCUCGAAAGUGUGGGUAUCAAACAGGAUUAGAUACCCGGGUAGUC
rnacentral:rRNA from 1 species